CUGGAAGUCCCGUAAGGAUCACAGCAAACAGAAUUAGAACAGCCUAGCUUCACAAUUCCAAUCUUCUGGAUUUGUAUCUUUAUCAGGAAGUAGAUCAUUUUAAUUUACUGCUCAGAAGAGACAGCUAAGAAGCAGAGGUAGAAGCACUAUUUUCCUGUUUGGAGAGCCACCACAGCACCAUCCAUGCUGCUGUAGGAAGGAAUUACUCUCAGACCUCCUCUGAUGCCGGCACCACAGGUGGCUAUGCUACCCCGGGAAGGGCCCAGGCUUCUGAGGCUGCUGCUUUGGGUAGGACUGCUGACUCGGCUAUGUCCUGGCUACACUCGCACAAAUGCCUCACACAGUUAAUACCCCCUACGGUGAUGACUAAGAAGACGGUCCAGGCCUUUUCCACAUAAACUAUGGCUAAUCGUAUUUGCUUCUCCUCACCAUGCUGUAAUUGAUAUUUUGCACCUAUGUAUGCAAAUAUCCACGUAACAUUAU
rnacentral:lncRNA from 1 species